UACGUAGGGGGCAAGCGUUAUCCGGAUUUACUGGGUGUAAAGAGAGCGUAGACGGCCAGACAAGUCUGAAGUGAAAAUCCAGCGCUUAACGUUGGAAGUGCUUUGGAAACUGCCGGGCUAGAGUGCAGGAGGGGCAGGCGGAAUUCCUAGUGUAGCGGUGAAAUGCGUAGAUAUUAGGAGGAACACCAGUGGCGAAGGCGGCCUGCUGGACUGCAACUGACGUUGAGGCUCGAAAGCGUGGGGAGCAAACAGG
rnacentral:rRNA from 1 species